CCUACGGGAGGCAGCAGUGGGGAAUAUUGGGCAAUGGGCGCAAGCCUGACCCAGCAACGCCGCGUGAAGGAAGAAGGCUUUCGGGUUGUAAACUUCUUUUGACAGGGAAGAGUAGCAGGCGGUACCUGUCGAAUCAGCCACGGCUAACUACGUGCCAGCAGCCGCGGUAAUGAGUAGGUGGCAAGCGUUGUCCGGAUUUACUGGGUGUAAAGGGCGUGUAGCCGGGUUGACAAGUCAGCUGUGAAAUCCUGCGGCUUAACCGCAGAACUGCAUUUGAAACUGUUGAGCUUGAGUGCGGGAGGGGCGGACGGAAUUCCCGGUGUAGCGGUGGAAUGCGUAGAUAUUAGGAGGAACACCAGUGGCGAAGGCAGGCUGCUGGACAGCAACUGACGGUGAGGCGCGAAAGCGUGGGGAGCAAACAGGAUUAGAUACCCCUGUAGUC
rnacentral:rRNA from 1 species